UCUUCUUGUUCCAUAGGAAGGCUGCACUUGCUGUAAUUACUAUAGCAGCUGCUAUAAACAACAUGUUGAAUAAAGCCCUUGUGUGGUAUGGGAAUACCUGGUUAGUACCAUGGUCCAUAGGGUAAACAUAGUAUUGGUAAAGAAGUCCCACAAAUAGAAGGUACAAAGCAAAUGAAGACGAUAUUAUAGCUGCAAGCCAGAGCCAAUUGUUCUGGCCUAAAAUGGGGGUUAUG
rnacentral:misc_RNA from 1 species